rnacentral:rRNA from 1 species
UUGGAGGGCAAGUCUGGUGCCAGCAGCCGCGGUAAUUCCAGCUCCAAUAGCGUAUAUUAAAGUUGUUGCAGUUAAAAAGCUCGUAGUUGAAUUUCGGGGUUAGUAGGUUGGUCAUGCCUCUGGUAUGUACUGGUCUCACUGAUUCCUCCUUCCUUAUGAACCGUAAUGCCAUUAAUUUGGUGUUGCGGGGAAUUUGGACUGUUACUUGAAAAAAUUGAGUGUUUAAAGCAAGCUAACGCUUGAAUACAUUAGCAUGGAAUAAUGAAAUAGGUACG